UACGUAGGGACCGAGCGUUGUCCGGAUUCAUUGGGCGUAAAGAGCUCGUAGGCGGCCACUCAAGUCGAAUGUGAAACCUCGAGGCUUAACCUCGAGCCUGCAUUCGAUACUGGGCGGCUAGAGUCUGGUAGGGGGAUCUGGAAUUCCUGGUGUAGCGGUGGAAUGCGCAGAUAUCAGGAGGAACACCGGUGGCGAAGGCGGUUCUCUGGGCAUUACCUGACGCUGAGGAGCGAAAGUGUGGGGAGCGAACAGG
rnacentral:rRNA from 1 species